rnacentral:rRNA from 1 species
CUGAAAGCUAGUGGCGGGCUCGCUAUAACUCCGAGCGUAGUAGUAAAAUAUCUCGCUAGGGAGGUGUCGCGGGUUCCGGCCGUGAAAGCCCAUCUUUUACACAAGGUUGACCUCGGAUCAGGUAGGAAUACCCGCUGAACUUAAGCAUAUCAAUAAGCGGAGGAAAAGAAACCAACAGGGAUUGCCCCAGUAACGGCGAGUGAAGCGGCAACAGCUCAAAUUUGAAAUCUGGCUUCGGCCCGAGUUGUAAUUUGUAGAGGAUGCUUUUGGUGAGGUGCCUUCUGAGUUCCCUGGAACGGGACGCCAGAGAGGGUGAGAGCCCCGUAUAGUUGGACACCGAGCCUCUGUAAAGCUCCUUCGACGAGUCGAGUAGUUUGGGAAUGCUGCUCAAAAUGGGAGGUAUAUCUCUUCUAAAGCUAAAUACUGGCCAGAGACCGAUAGCGCACAAGUAGAGUGAUCGAAAGAUGAAAAGCACUUUGAAAAGAGGGUUAAAUAGUACGUGAAAUUGUUGAAAGGGAAGCGCUUGUGACCAGACUUGUGCCCGGCUGAUCAUCCAGUGUUCUCACUGGUGCACUCUGCCGGGCUCAGGCCAGCGUCGGUUCUCGCAGGGGGACAAAAGCUUCGGGAACGUAGCUCCUCCGGGAGUGUUAUAGCCCGUUGCUCAAUACCCCUGCGGGGACCGAGGU